rnacentral:rRNA from 1 species
GUGAGGAAUAUUGGUCAAUGGGCGGGAGCCUGAACCAGCCAAGUCGCGUGAAGGAAGAAGGAUCUAUGGUUCGUAAACUUCUUUUGCAGGGGAAUAAAGUGCAGGACGUGUCCUGUUUUGUAUGUACCCUGAGAAUAAGGAUCGGCUAACUCCGUGCCAGCAGCCGCGGUAAUACGGAGGAUACGAGCGUUAUCCGGAUUUAUUGGGUUUAAAGGGUGCGUAGGUGGUUUGAUAAGUCAGCGUUGAAAGUUUGCAGCUUAACUGUAAAAAUGCCGUUGAAACUGUCGGACUUGAGUGUAAAUGAGGUAGGCGGAAUGCGUGGUGUAGCGGUGAAAUGCAUAGAUAUCACGCAGAACUCCGAUUGCGAAGGCAGCUUACUAAGCUACAACUGACACUGAAGCACGAAAGCGUGGGGAUCAAACAGGAUUAGAAACCCGUGUAGUCC